UGGCUCUGUUUCCUGGGUGGUGGACUUAGCCUUUUCCACCUCCCCUCAGAUGAGCCUAGAGUAGACAGGCCAGGCGUCCCCUCUGUGGAAGAGGAGUUCAAGAAAGGAGCCUUCCCCGGGCUGUCCUAGCCUCACAUUU